rnacentral:lncRNA from 10 species
GGGCGCCUGUAGUCCCAGCUACUCGGGAGGCUGAGGCAGGAGAAUGGCGUGAACCCGGGAGGCGGAGCUUGCAGUGAGCUGAGAUCAUGCCACUGCACUCCAGUCUGGGCGAGACUCUGUCUCAAAAAAAACAAAAACAAAAAACCCCAUCACGUUUGGCUGGGUGCGGUGGCUCACGCCUACAAUCCCAGCACUUUGGGAGGCCGAGGUGGGAGGAUGGUUGUGAAGCCAGGGGUUCAAGAUCAGCCUGAUCAGCAUAGCAAGACGCCAUGUCUACAAAAUACAAGGGGAAAAAAAUUAGCCGGGCAUGGUGGCACAUGUCUGUAGUCCCAGCUGCUUGGGAGGCUGAGGUGGGAGGACUGCUUGAGCCCAGGAGUUUGAGGCUGCAGUGAGCUGAGAUCGCACCACUGCAUUCCAGCCUGGGCGACAGAGUGAGACCCUGUCUAAUAAACAAAAAACAGGCCAGGCACGGUGGCUCAUGCCUGUAAUCCCAGCAUUUUGGGAGGCCGAGGUGAAGGAUCACUUGAGGUCAGGAGUUCUAGACCAGCCUGAGCAACAUGAAACCCCAUCACUACAAAAAAUAAACAAAAUUCACAGGGCGUGGCAGGGUGCGCCAGUGGUCCCAGCUACUCAGGAGGCUGAGGUGGGAGGAUCACUUGAGCCCUGGAGGUCGAGGCUGCAGUGAACUGGGAUCCAGACACUGCAUUCCAGCCUGGGUGACAGUGAGAGACCCUGUCUCAAACAACAACAAACGAAUAAACAAAAAACACCCAAACCAUCAGGUUUUUAUGCUGACACCCAUGUUGACUGCUCAGCCCUCUCCCCGCAGUCUGACUUAUAUCCAGUGACUUCCUCUUGGAUACCUGAGAGGCAGCUCCAGUCUCCAGUGCUCCACGCCGGGCUUCCCAUACCCCCUCUGGCAGAGGAAGAGUCUUUUUUUUUUUUUUUGAGAUGGAGUUUCGCUGUUGUCACCCAGGCUGGAAUGCAAUGGCAGGCUCUCUGCUCUCUGCAACCUCUGCCUCCCGGGUUUAAGUGAUUCUCCAGUCUCAGCCUCCCAAGGAGCUG